GUCCACGCCGUAAACGAUGAAUGCUAGAUGUUGGGGGCCUAGCUCCUCAGUGUCGAAGCUAACGCGAUAAGCAUUCCGCCUGGGGAGUACGGCCGCAAGGUUAAAACUCAAAGGAAUUGACGGGGGCCCGCACAAGCGGUGGAGCAUGUGGUUUAAUUCGACGCAACGCGAAGAACCUUACCAGCUCUUGACAUGGGGGUUAUGGAUCUCGGAGACGGGAUCCUUCGGUUCGGCCGGGCCCACACAGGUGCUGCAUGGCUGUCGU
rnacentral:rRNA from 1 species